rnacentral:sRNA from 1 species
UACAUAAAUGUUUAAAUUAAUGAUAAC